rnacentral:rRNA from 1 species
GUACGUGGCAAGCGUUGUCCGGAAUUAUUGGGCGUAAAGCGCGCGCAGGCGGUUCUUUAAGUCUGAUGUGAAAGCCCCCGGCUCAACCGGGGAGGGUCAUUGGAAACUGGGGAACUUGAGUGCAGAAGAGGAGAGUGGAAUUCCACGUGUAGCGGUGAAAUGCGUAGAGAUGUGGAGGAACACCAGUGGCGAAGGCGACUCUCUGGUCUGUAACUGACGCUGAGGCGCGAAAGCGUGGGGAGCGAACAGGAUUAGAUACCCUGGUAGUCCACGCCGUAAACGAUGAGUGCUAAGUGUUAGAGGGUUUCCGCCCUUUAGUGCUGCAGCAAACGCAUUAAGCACUCCGCCUGGGGAGUACGGUCGCAAGACUG